rnacentral:rRNA from 1 species
GAUGAACGCUGACAGAAUGCUUAACACAUGCAAGUCUUUGGCGAAGCUGUGCUUGCACAGCCUAGCCAAGGCGGACGGGUGAGUAAUGCGUAAGGAACUUGCCCUGCAGUCAGGGAUAACAGACGGAAACGACUGAUAAGACCUGAUAAAGUCAGGCGGACUCAUGUCCAGCCUGAUGAAAAGAGAUGCUGCAGGAGAGCCUUGCGUCCUAUUAGCUUGUUGGUGGGGUAACGGCCCACCAAGGCGAUGAUAGGUAGCCGGCCUGAGAGGGUGGACGGCCACAAGGGGACUGAGAUACGGCCCUUACUCCUACGGGAGGCAGCAGUGGGGAAUAUUGGACAAUGGGGGCAACCCUGAUCCAGCAAUUCUGUGUGCACGAUGAAGGUUUUCGGAUUGUAAAGUGCUUUCAGCAGGGAAGAAAAAAAUGACGGUACCUGCAGAA